AGGUUUCCACUGAGGACUCUAAAUUAGGCCACCGGGAACGUUUCCUUUGCUGUCAGUUUCAUUUCCCAGAACUCUUAAAGUCCUUCAUUAUUUAUCCUCUGCAAAAGAAAGCUCUUGGGUAGACCUGCUUUUCGCCCAGGGAGCCAUUAAAUCAGGCAGCCUGACUUUCCAGCCCUGCUGUGGAUGGAAGAGUCCAGCACCAUGGCCUGGGAUAAAGCCUGGCAGACAUUUUUCAGUCUCGUUAAAAAGGUCCACCUGCAGCAGGGUCACAAAAUGACAAGAAAUACAGAGGACAACCCCCUUCAGCGUUUGAAUGCUGGGCAGCACAUGCCUUAAAGGAGGCAGGAGUGGGAUAAAAAUUAAAAGGUUUCUUCAAGAGCCGCACAAACAUGAUGUCUCAAGUGCCCUCUGGAGUCACAGAGCUUAAGGGACCCAGGUGAUAACCUAGUCUGAUCUCCUGCCUCGCAUAGGCCAGAAAGUCCCACCUGGGAAUUCCUACAUUGAGCCCAGUGACUUGUGGCUGAGCUAGAGUGGAGCGUUCAGAAAGAGACAACCUUGACCUUAACAUUUCAAGUGACGGAGCACCUGGCAAGACAGAACCCAGGAGUCCUGACUCCCAGUCCCUCCUGCUCUAACCACUAGACCCCCUUCCCCUCCCAGAGCUGGGAACAGAGCCCAGUUCCCUGGGGAUCCUGCUCUCGAUUCUGUUUACCCAGAUACUUACGAUGGCAAUGAGGGACAUGUAUCUGUAUGCUUUUCCACCCACCUGCAUUGCUAAAGCACUAGUCCCCGCAGGGCUGGGGCUCCCUGUACAGAAGUUGUGAUGGGAAAACUCUUCUGGAAUUCAUGUACCACAAGGAAUGUGCAGCUGGCACUGUGCUGACCCUGGUUUAGAAAUACCUAUGUGGGGAGAAGAUUUCUGAGACCAGCGGGCUCUUUAAUCUAGCAGGACAAAGCAGAAUGAGAUCCAACAACGGGAAGCCAAAGAUGGAACAAUUCAGGGUGGCAAUGAGGCGCAGAUGGUUAAUUCACCCUUGGGACAACUUACCAAGGGAUGCGGUGGAUUUUCUGUCCCUUGGGGUCUUUAAAUCGAGAUAAGGGAUCUCUUUCUACAUGCCACGCUGGUGUUGGAAUUGCUGGGUGAUAACCUCUGGCCUGGGUUAUGCAGGAGAUCAGAGACUCAAUGGUAGAGUGGUCCCUCGUGACCUUGAAAUCUGAGUCCAAGAACUGUCUUUUUGCCCAGGACAUGCCCCGUGCUAUGGUCCGCUAUAAAUGAAGGCGAAAUUGCACAGAGACGGUGAACCGCAAACCCUUCCAAUUCGAGACAGUCUCACACUUCCCAGCUCUGGCUCUGCAGAGCCCCGUGAGAUCCUAUGUAGUGUUUGGGCUCGGACAGAAUGAACCCGGGGCUCUCAACUGGUGACAACCCAGCCAAAGCAGCAACCCAGCACCCACGGGUGUUGAGGUUGGGCCGACAUGGAAAAGUCAGCUCUGCGUGGCUACAUCUGUCACAGCGUGAAAAGGCCGUGCCUCUGCCCGGUAUGCCAACCCACCCCCAGUGCAGGUUCUGUUAUGUUAAUGGGCGAGUACUUCUAUCAACAUAGCUAUUGUUGUUCAGGGAGGUGGUGUCCCUAAACCGACAGAAAAACGCUUUCUAUCAGUGCAAGCGGCGUCUCCGCUGAGGAGCUGGGUCGGCAUAGAGUCCCCUGAGUGAACGAGCAGGAAAGGCCUCAUGAGACAUGAACACGUGGGACUGUAAAUCAGUCUGAUCGUUAACUGGGAGCCUAACAGAGGGGAGAUGGGAGAGGAGUGAAGUCCUGCUUGUUUUCCAACCCCCUUCUCCCCCCCUCCACCACCUGGUAUCUCUAACCUUCAGAGCAAUGUAAGUAGGAGACAAGAGACAGCAAGUGGAUACCGACAGUCGGAGGGGAGGGA